CCGUGGAAGAAGGGAGGGGACAGGGGCUCAGGGCAGGUGUGAGCAGGUGCGACCGCUUCCACUGCGGAUGCCUUCGAUGAUCACGGCAAGGCAGAGGAAAGGGGGAGGGAGUAAGAUGCUCUGGGUAGCAAACUGAUCUCCCAGCUCCUGGCAGAUGUGCGGAGGUCAUAUUACAAACCCUCCAGGGGGGGAUGCAUGCAGAAUAGUUUGGGAACAGAUUGGUUUGUAAACAGUUCUCAAACCUGGCCGCACUUGGGGCAAACAAGGGCAUACUUGUAAAAUGCACCUUUGUGUGGAUUCUAGCAAAAGGAGGAUGCCUGGAUCUCUGAAUGGGGAAGGAAACCAUCUUGAAGAGAAGAAACUACGGGGCUAUGUUAUUCCCAUAGUCUCUGAGAAAUGCGUGGAACUCCCAGGUUUCAAAUAUACCUGAUGGUAUUUAAUUGUGGCAGAUCAAGAAAUUCUUGAGUGCUUCAGAGCAAAUGGAUGGGACAAAAUCAUCACUGUUUUGAAAGGAAAAUUAGACUGCAGGCACUCAUAGUCAGUGUGAUGCUUGUGUUUAUUUUGCUGGUUUCCAGGGUAGUGCAAGUGCUCUUUGCACUGCAGCAGUGUCUGCUGAUGUUUACUCCAUCUCUUCUUAUGGCUUACAAAGAGAUUCAGGAUUCUAUCAAAUUAAUUGCUAUUAUCUGCCCACUGAGAACAGUGAGGCUGGACGUGAGGCAUUGUCAUUCAAGGUUUAUGGACAAGAAUUCUCAUAUAUAUUGAUGGGGCUGUACAGCAGGAGGAAAUCCUUUCCCUGACAGGUUCUGGGAUGAAUUGCUUGUGCUGAUACCUGCUUCUAAAUCGGCUUCAUCUCCCUCACUUUUCCUCUGUAAAAUGCUGCUACUCCUCACAAAGAUGUAAAAAACCAGCAGAUAAUGCUCGCAGUAAGCUCUGGUGAUAAAUACCGUGUGAGUCCUAAGAAAAGCUGUUAUUUGAAGGAAGUCCAUGAUGACGGCUCUGCAGGUGCUGCCAGUGGAUUUAUGGGACAUGUGAAACUUAUGCUUUGUAUUUUUCUAGAAGGAGACUGGAGGAAUUGACAUCUAUCACAAUUCAAAAGGAUGAGAACAAGCCCACAAAAAGAAAAGAAGACUCUUCUGACUUUUAGAAAUCUUUAUAAACAUCAUUUAAUGUCAUUUUCAAAUACCUUGAAGGGAUCGUAAAACUUUGCUCUUCUCUGAUCAUUGUACCACUUAGAAGUGGAAAGGUAUGAACAGCCAUAACCCUGGCACAUUUUUAACAAUUCUCAGGACCAAAGGGGAUUGUAAGAUGGAAGCUUUGAUAACAAAAACAUAAAGAUGUCAUUGUCAACUAUCUCAAAAUAUACAUGCUUGUUGUAAAUGUCACAUAAGCCCACAGCUAAGUGAUGAAUCAGAAUUUCCUGUGUUUUCAAAGUGCUUCGUUUGAUAAAGACUUUUAACUCCUUCAUGAACAAGUUAUUUCGUGCCCCACAAUUUGCUUUCUGUCCUUUUACUGUUAAUCACUGAAACAAAAAUACCUCAUGCAACAUGAGUUAGCUGGAUAUACAGGGUAGAAUUUCAGUUAUAAUCUGCAUCAAGGAAAAAAAAUACUUGGAAAAUGUUUGGAACUAACAUGCAUAACAUUGUAAAUCAAUUUAUUAGCAAUAAUAUGAUUUUUUUCCUCUUCAUUAAAAUAAUAGAAGUGAUAAACUAAACUAAAUGUUGGAGAUAUAUGGACUAAUUUGGCCCCAGUAGAAGUCUUCAUUCAGUGAAAUACUUUAGCAUUUGAUUAGGAUUAAGUAUUUGAUUGUGUCUUGUAUCAGUUUAGAACACCCUGCUGAGAGGAAAAGAGAUGAAAAUUACACGAUUGAGAACGCCAGGUAUGUCAAGACAGAUUUUGACCCCUUGGUGGGGUCACUCGUGGAGACAGGAUGGUCGUGAUUGCAGCCAGGCCAUUUCUGGAGAGCUGGAGGUCCCAAGGUUGGGAUGCCUGAGGGUUUCUCUCUUCUGGCACUGCCAAUCCCUGCCACACAUGGCUAAUCCCUCACUGUGCCACAGGGAGAACGUCCUGCCUGGUUUUAUCUAAAGGAGGUAAAUCCCAUCGGCCAGAGAGGAGAGAGGCAGUAUUUCUGAGUUUUUAAAAUGCUCUAUCCACACUAUCUAUGAACUUUGUUAUUACUUCUUCAUGUCAGUCAUCUCUUAUACACUCACCUUUACCAAAACCAAGAGCCACCAAUCUGUUCUUCUUGUAUGGUUUGCUCACAUAAAUUUGCGUAGGUUUUUCUGCAAAGUUGUUGGAUUUUUAUUUGGGGUUAGAGAUGUUUGUACUAUUUCAGUGCCCUGCUAUUAAAUAGAAUCAUAAUAAUAAUUUUUCAGUUGAGCUGCAGGUGCAGAAUACAGGAACCAUCUUUUGCCAAAUAUUACUAAGUGCAUUAGAUAUUCAUCACUUAUUAAAAUCUGUAAUCCUAGUAAAUAAAAGACAAUUUUAAAAUUGCAGGCUGGUGGGUAUCGUAACUCAACUAUUAAAAACCUGUUUGUCAAGUUGUAAGUCAUUAAUAAUUAGUAUUACAAAUGCUAUUAUGCCUUUGAUUGGGGAGAAAUGGACUGAAGCUAGGAUUACAUUAUUCAAUUAGAUUUAAUUCCAUUUGGUAUGAGUUUUACUUUAUGUGAAGUUCAGCCUGUAAAAGGAUCAUGGUAGCAACCAUCCAAAAUGUUAAUUUGUGUAUAGAGCAAAUAGGAUGCAUAAUAACUUCAUCAUGUAUUACAGCUCUGUUGACUGACAGUGUAAGUGCUACUAGACUCACUAUGGUUAAUUAGAUUUCUUUAUGCACUGUACAGUAGCAUUACACACAAUCAUUUAUAAAUGGGUUUAUUAAAAUUUCUAUAUUCAUAUAGUGAAAGCACGUUUAAAUCUUUUCCCUCUUUUGUACAAAAAAAUGUAAAGUGCCACUAGAAAAAGUAAAAUAAAGUGAAAUUCUAAGUCACAUCAGUCUGUGAGUUAGCACAGAUCAAGUCAAAAGAACUCAGGUAUAAGUGGCCUGCUAACUGGUGAAAAGGUUACUAAAGGCCUUGUAUUUUCCAGGAUUUUAUCUUCUGCCAGCUGACUAGAAUUACAUACAUUCCCAAUUUAUAAACAUUAGUCGUAUCUAUAUGAGCAUCUGGAAGUUCAAUAUUUCUUUCCCAAUUUGUUGUAUUUUCCACCACAUUUCAUUCAAUCUGUUAGCACUGCAAUAAAUCCAUCUUUGCAUUUAUUUCCCAGUCUUUAU